rnacentral:piRNA from 1 species
CGGGAAUUUGCUGUGUCCCUCGUUGUAGUC